rnacentral:lncRNA from 1 species
GUGAAGGAUGAAUUUAUUAACAAUAAAAAUGACUUUCUUGGUAAAGUUUUUGCAUCGGCGGCUUAUUUGGAGAAACUGUUAGAACUGGACGAACUUCAAAAGCAGUCUGAAAUGGCAGAUAUCUUGGAACUGAGCGAUGAUGAAUUGGAAGCAGAAGCAAUAUAACUCAUUUCUUAAACUAUUAUUUUUGACGGUUUUCUUCCUCUACAGAGUAAUGAACCCUGUUUUUGGUCAUUUCCGGUUAUUUUAUUCGGCCUUAUUUGUAAGCUCUGACAUUUUUCACAAUCUUAAACGUCAACAUGUAGGCCAAAUCAGCGAGAUUAGUCAAACUAAAAUUAUUGUAAAUGACCAAACUAUUACGAUUUUUGUUAAAGUAUAAAUGGGAAUUAUUUUUAAUCAGAUAAUAGAUGUAUUUGUAUUUAUAAAUAUGACAAGGUAAAUUAAAAAAAAAAAAUCGCUUUAUAUUAAUUUGCUUCAAAGUCCUGUCAUCUACACCUUCCAAAUUUAAUUUGUAAAUAUAGUGAGGGGUUGGAAGCCUGGAAUUUAAUGUUCUGAUUAUGUUAGUUGCAUAACUUUCUGGUUUGUGAGGAUCCCCUCUAUCCAUCAUUGGUAUUUUGAUAAAAAUCAUCAGAUUUAAUAAAUUAAGGUCGAGAUUUGUUAAGAAUUUUAAUAAAGGGAACUGUGUACUAAUUAAUGACUUUUUCCUUCAGGUUGAAUGGGAUGUUUUGUACUCGGGUAGACUUUCUGAGUAUCUUGACAACUUUUAAAAAAAUGUAUGAAAAUGCUAUUGACAAAUAAAUCCCUAAUACUGUUCAAGGAAGAUUCUUUUCAACACUUCUUCAACAGUUCUUCAAGUUAAGAAGUUCAAAGAAGAUAAAGAAUAGGGUGCACAGAAGAUUUAAGAAAAUGGGCACUUACGAGGAGUAUAAGCGAUUUUCUGAAUAUAGAGAAGAUUCAAAGUUAAGGAUAUUCACAUGUUAUAUAAGUCCUAAGUUUAUAAUAUUGAGCUUGGCACUACCGUUGAUGUCAAAAGGUUUUGGUCGUUUGUCAAUAGUAAGCGAGGUAACAGAGGCUAUCCCCAUGAAACGUUCCAUGAUGUUAUCGUCCCCACAAUUGCUGAAGAAUUUGCUUCCCUGUUUAAACAAAACUUCAUCAAUAGCUCCAGGUUUAAUUCUUCUGAGAGAUAGUGGAUUUAAACUUGGUUGCUUUUGAACCUGAGGCCAUUACGAAAAAACUUGUGCUCUAACCUUGAGUUAUGGCAUCCCUGAAUUGUUCUUAAAGAAGUGCAGUCCCUGACCAAACCUCUCUCUCUAUUCCAUGUGGUCAAUCUUUUGUUUUUCACUUGCUUAAAAAUGGAGAUUGUAAGUACAUCGAAAACUAUCGCCUAAUAAGUACUCUAUAAUACCUAAGAUUAUGGAUUCUUUGGCAGAUGUAUUGAGUAUUUAAUUCAAACAUGUUAUUCUUCAGCAACAUCAUGGUUUCAUGAAAGGACGCUCAGUGUUACCAUCUUAGUUCUUAACAAGGUUUUCAUUCUGAAUCAUUUGGAGAACAGUCAGUGUGUUCAUUCUGUUUACACAGAUUUCUCUAAGUCUUUGACAUAGAGACAUCUUGGUGAAAAAAUCGAAAAAGGUAGAAGGUAACCCCCUUCUGGGGUGGAUCAAUUCUUUUCAGUCUGGGAGAAAUUUUACACUAAGAUUUGGGGAAGGAUUGCCCAUCCCUGUUUAUAUUGAUUCCUGUGUUUCCCAGGGAUCUCAUUCAGGGUCGGUAUUGUUUCUGAUAUUUUUAUAUGAUGUUGGAUCAUCCAUUAACAACUCAUUUUCACUUUUAGCUUUCGACCUAAAAAUCUUUCACCCAAUUUAAGCAAUACAGUUUACCACAGGAUCUGGAUUUCUGGUCUUGGUGUGACAAUAAUAAUCUUAAAAUAAAUGAAUAAAAGUGUAAGGUGUUAAGAUUUUCAAAGAAAAAGGUCGCGAAUGAGCUUGAUUUAUUUGUUUACAAAUUAAACGGUCAUCCAAUUUACAACGUAGGUUCCAUCUCAGAUCUUGGAGUUAUUUUUAAUAAGAACUGCGAUUUUCAUGAUCACCUUGAAGCUGUUAAAAAAAAAAGUAUGUAAAAAUUUGGGCUUCAUUAGAAAGCAGACGGUAGAUUAAAAAAAUAAAUAAAUGCUUGCUACAAAAAUCCUUUAUCAAUCACUUGUUCGUUGCCAUUUGGAGUGUGCUAGUAUUGUUUGGCCGCAUGGAUCAAACAGCGGAUCGCUCAUGAUCGAGGGGUACAAAGGAGGGCAUGUAAAUAUUUGCUUUUCAAAAUGAAUGUAAACAUUGAGAGUGAGCUCCCUUAAUAACUCCCUCUCGUGAGCUAUUUUACGUUCCCCAACAUAGGACGAAUGUAUUUGGAAUAUUAUCUAUCGCAGAUGUUUGGCAGAUUAAUUGGUACUGAAAUGUCGCAGACCCUUUCUCAGACUCUUGUCGGUUUAAAAAAAUUUUUUUACUAGCUUUAAAAGUGAUCCAGAUUUUUUUCUUGGCUACAAGUUUUGUUAUCCAUUGCAGUUAUUAUCAACUUGUGAUCUAUUUUUUUGUCUAAUGUUUUUAAAUUAUAAAUUAUUAUAUUUUUGUAUUCUUGACUGUUUAGUUUUGGGUCAUUUGACUGACAUUUGAAUAACUUAUUGUAAUUUUAUAUAAUUUUUGAUCUUUUUUUUCCAUAAAUAGACAGAUUAAUAACUAAUAGAUUUAGAUUUAAAUAAUUUUAUUCCAGUUUUCAGAGUUUUUUUCUUUCAUUACAGCAUUGCAAAAGGUUUAAAUAACAAUACUUAAUAUAUAGCACAUCAAUUACAAAAAGGUUAACUACUUGAAGUAUUUUUAUUUUAUAAGAUGCAAAUAAAACAUUUUCACCAACAAGGCACGUCAACUUUUUAAUACAUUUAUUUUUAAGAUAUUAAAUGUUAAUAUUGUGCUAGCAUAGAAAAAUGAUGCAGUAAAUUGGUAGAGUGAAAAAAAAAAA